GAUGAACGCUAGCGAUAGGCCUAACACAUGCAAGUCGAGGGGCAGCAUAGAGUAGCAAUACUUUGAUGGCGACCGGCGCACGGGUGAGUAACACGUAUGCAACCUACCUACAUCAGGGGAAUAACCCGGAGAAAUUCGGACUAAUACCGCAUAAUACAGGGAUGCCGCAUGGCAAUAUUUGUUAAAGAUUUAUCGGAUGUAGAUGGGCAUGCGUUCCAUUAGCUUGUUGGUGAGGUAACGGCUCACCAAGGCAACGAUGGAUAGGGGAACUGGGAGGCUUGUCCCCCACACUGGAACUGAGACACGGACCAGACUCCUACGGGAGGCAGCAGUGAGGAAUAUUGGUCAAUGGACGAGAGUCUGAACCAGCCAAAUCGCGCGAAGGAAGACUGCCCUACGGGUUGUAAACUUCUUUUGUACAGGAAUAAAAGACAUUACGUGUAAUGUAUUGCAUGUACUGUACGAAUAAGCAUCGGCUAACUCCGUGCCAGCCGCCGCGGUAA
rnacentral:rRNA from 1 species